AUGAACGCUAGCGACAGGCUUAACACAUGCAAGUCGAGGGGUAACAGGGUAGCAAUACCGCUGACGACCGGCGCACGGGUGAGUAACGCGUAUGCAACCUGCCUAUAACUGUGGAAUAGCUCCCUGAAAGGGGAAUUAACACCGCAUAACACUAUUGAUUCGCAUGGAUUGGUAGUUAAAUGUAGCGAUACAGGUUAUAGAUGGGCAUGCGUGACAUUAGCUAGUUGGUGAGGUAACGGCUCACCAAGGCUACGAUGUCUAGGGGUUCUGAGAGGAAGGUCCCCCACACUGGUACUGAGACACGGACCAGACUCCUACGGGAGGCAGCAGUGAGGAAUAUUGGUCAAUGGGCGCAAGCCUGAACCAGCCAUGUCGCGUGCAGGAAGACUCGCCCUAUGGGUUGUAAACUGUCUUUUAUAGUAGAAGAAACACAUCUACGUGUAGAUGUCUGCCAGUAUACUAUGAAUAAGCAUCGGCUAACUCCGUGCCAGCCGCAGC
rnacentral:rRNA from 1 species